rnacentral:pre_miRNA from 1 species
AACCUACUCCCUCUGUUUCGAAUUACUUGUCGCAGGUAUGGAUGUAUCUAGAUGUAUUUUAGUUUUAGAUACAUUCAUUUCUGUGACGAGUAAUUUGAAACAGAGGGAGUAUAUU